GCGGCAAAAGCUCAAAUUUGAAAUCUGGCGCCUUCGGUGUCCGAGUUGUAAUUUGAAGAUUGUAACCUUGGGGUUGGCUCUUGUCUAUGUUUCUUGGAACAGGACGUCACAGAGGGUGAGAAUCCCGUGCGAUGAGAUGCCCAAUUCUAUGUAAGGUGCUUUCGAAGAGUCGAGUUGUUUGGGAAUGCAGCUCUAAGUGGGUGGUAAAUUCCAUCUAAAGCUAAAUAUUGGCGAGAGACCGAUAGCGAACAAGUACAGUGAUGGAAAGAUGAAAAGAACUUUGAAAAGAGAGUGAAAAAGUACGUGAAAUUGUUGAAAGGGAAGGGUUUGAGAUCAGACUCGAUAUUUUGUGAGCCUUGCCUUCGUGGCGGGGUGACCCGCAGCUUAUCGGGCCAGCAUCGGUUUGGGCGGUAGGAUAAUGGCGUAGGAAUGUGACUUUACUUCGGUGAAGUGUUAUAGCCUGCGUUGAUGCUGCCUGCCUAGACCGAGGACUGCGAUUUUAUCAAGGAUGCUGGCAUAAUGAUCCCAAACCGCCCGUCUU
rnacentral:rRNA from 1 species